rnacentral:rRNA from 3 species
GGACUACUGGGGUUUCUAAUCCCGUUUGCUCCCCUGGCUUUCGCGCCUCAGCGUCAGAAGAGGUCCAGCGUGCCGCCUUCGCCACCGGAGUUCCUAUUGAUAUCAACGCAUUUCACCGCUCCACCAAUAGUUCCGCACGCCCCUACCUCCCUCGAGACACCCAGUAUCCACGGCAGUUCUCCAGUUGAGCUGGAGGAUUUCACCACAGACUUGAAUGCCCGCCUACGCGCCCUUUAAGCCCAGUGAUUCCGAACAACGUUCGCUCGGUUCGUCUUACCGCGGCUGCUGGCAC